CAAUACUUCCCCUAGACUUCAUCCCAGCCAGCUAUAAUGAGUUUUAAGAAUUUCCCUUAUUUCCCUUAAUAGGCCUCUCUCAAAUUAUAUGCAUGCCUAACAUUCCUAUCUCAGAACGAGGCUAAGUGAGUACAGCCACCGUAGCAACGCAUACACAAUGGCUUCCAGUCAAGCUACAUGUAGCAAAAACAACCAACAUAAUUGUGCACAAAAUUGUGUAUCCAAUGGAAGUUAUGGUGAUUCUAUUAAUUUUCACCAUAUUCCAAAAGAUGAGGAUAUCAAAAAGCAGUGGAUUGUAAAAAUAAGAAGAGAUGAAGGGCCAUUAUUCAAGGUAUUAAAGUCAACAGUCGUUUGUACCAAACACUUUAGGCAAGAUGACUAUAAAAGCUGGACACCUGAUCGAAGCUUUUAAAGCCAGCAGCCAUUCCAUCAGUAUUUAAUUGGAAUGAUAAACCAAAGUCAAGGCGAAUUUUGAAAAGGAAAGGUCCAUUUCCACUAAGUUAACCAAUGCAAAGGUAAAUAUCAAAUGAUUAUGAUACAAAAAAAUUAUUCAAUAUAGUAAAUAUGGAUAUGUCCUUAAAUUGCACAUAAUUCUAACACAGUUAUUACAUAUAUACGUAUACCUUCAAUAUGCAUGUAGUGUAUACAUGUUCUUUAUAUUACAGUGAUGUUACAAUGUGUAUUGAGACACAAGUGGAAGAAGAGUGCAGUAAAGAUAACACAGAAUCAGAAGAACGCAGGACAAAAAGGAGAAACAUAGAGACAGUGUUGGAAACAGCCUAAAACAACAUAAAAAAUCUUGAAGAACAACUGUCUGAAAAGGAGAAAGAGUUGACAUGCUUACGUCAGCAGUUUAGCAUUGAAAAAUUUUGUGUAAAUAGAUUUUCGACAGAUGAUUCUCUAAUUUCAUUCUACACAGGCUUUCAAAUAUAUUUACUUUUCUUACCUUUUUAUGUAUACUGCCAAAAACAUGCAGAGUGCAUAUUAUAAAAGUAGUGAAACUAUUAUUCUAAAUGGUAGAAAGUGUUCUAUGUUGCUCUUUGACGAGCUUUUCUUAUUUUUAUGUCGCCUUUGUGCAGGAUUAUUAGACCAAAAUCUGAUUGUUCGAUUUUCAUCAAAUAUAUUUAAAACAUACUUUGUGGUACUGAAGAUAGACUUCCAUACUUUGUGUCCCAUUUAACAUUUUCUCCACGAAUGGGGUUGAAUAGGGUUGUUUUCAGAUUUUGGUUAGUCGUAUCCUUGACAACCUUUCCUUGGAUUUUCUCCCCUCUUUGGACAUGCCAAGUUUGUGGCCGAGAUGUCUUUGCAAUUUCAACUGGGAUAGCUCUUUGACCUAUAAUCUUGAAUUUCGCAAGCUGGUAAAGAGUUCCCACUACGUGUCCACAUGCUCCUGACAUUCCAAUAGGCCUUACUCACUUCAGGAGUGUUGAUAUCACCGAAACUCACCUGUAAUGUAGUAAUGAUUUCCAUAUGAAUAAUGAACUAUGUUUACGUAAUGACAAAUGUUUUAUGCAUUGGUUAUCUGUAUCAAAAGUGAACGACACAAAAUAAAUGCAUUGAUAUAUUUACAUUGA